rnacentral:lncRNA from 1 species
UAGAGAUGAGAAUUGUCCCUGUAUCGAUAUUAGUCAAUAGUUAAUACUACUAUUCAAAGUCUUAGUAAGUUUCACAAUAAUUUGGAUGCACGAAUGAAAAUCAACAUCCGAUCUUCAUUUUUCUUCAUUUUAAACUAGAGAAGGGAAAAGCAAAAAGAUUUUACGAACACGAACUUAAUCGUUCCGUACUAUUGUUUUUCCUUCCGUCUACAUGACUAUUUUUCCCCUAAUAAUGAAGGCGACGCACGAUUAGUGUAUUUCCAACGAAACGAGCAUCUGGUGUUGUCGGUGCCAUAACUGGUGUUUGAGAAUCCGGUGAUGGAGAUGGUGCGUCUUUAUAUUCUGCGUCUGGUGAUGGAGAUGGUGUGUCUGUAUAAUAUGUGUCUGGUGAUGGUGACGGUGGCUGAGCAUCCGGUGGUGGUGGUUGCUCUGCAUCUGGUGGAGGUGGUGGUGGUUGCUCAUCAUCUGGAGGAGGAGGAGGUGGUUGAUCAGCAACUGGUGGAGGAGGGGGCGGUUGCUGAUCAGCAUCUGGUGGAGGAGGUGGAGACUUAACCGGUGGCGGUGGUGAUUUAACUAGUGGUGGUGGAGACUUUACUGGUGGUGGUGGUUGCUGCUUAGGUGGAGGGCGUUUACGGGGUGGAAACU